CCUACGGGGCGCAGCAGUGGGGAAUAUUGGGCAAUGGGCGCAAGCCUGACCCAGCAAUGCCGCGUGAAGGAAGAAGGCUUUCGGGUUGUAAACUUCUUUGACAGGGGAAGAGCAGAAGACGGUACCCUGAAAACAAGCCACGGCUAACUACGUGCCAGCAGCCGCGGUAAUACGUAGGUGGCAAGCGUUAUCCGGAUUUACUGGGUGUAAAGGGAGCGUAGACGAAAAGGCAAGUCAGAAGUGAAAGCCCAAGGCUCAACCAUGGGACUGCUUUUGAAACUGUCAAACUAGAGUACGGGAG
rnacentral:rRNA from 1 species